ACCAGGUUCCCUCAACUGUUCCAAACAUUUUACUGUGACGCGGCCACUUCAGGGACUUCUUCAAAAACCGCGUACAGUUCGACGCCGGAUUUUCGCAACGGCAGUUUCUGAAGGAAGGGGCGACUCGGGCUCUCAAUAUUGUCCUCCAGUCCCUGUGACCUUCUGCCCUCGCGAACACAUUAGCAAGCUCCCAGAGCGUUCUGAGCUUAAUGUUCAGACUGAAGGACAAUAGUCUUUCCACCAGAUGUUGAACCUGCUGCAGGGAUUUUGCUCCCAUUCAGACACACUGAUGUUGGGUAAAAAGGUCUGGCUCACAGUCACUCUUCCAGUUCAUCCCAGUGGCCUCAGGUCAGAUCUCUGUGCAGACCAGUAAAGUUCUUCCUCACCAAACUGGGAAAAGCAUUUCUUUAUGGAGCUGGUUU